rfam:Microbacterium esteraromaticum strain B Mb 05.01 genome assembly, contig: Scaffold15
GGCUUUCUUCGCGGCGGAGCUCGACCGCCCACACAACAGAUGAUCGAGUACAUCGAUCAGAACAAAGCCGAAUUCGGGGUCGAGCCGAUCUGCGCAGAGCUGCCGAUCGCCCCG